GAUGAACGCUAGCGGCAGGCUUAAUACAUGCAAGUCGUGGGGCAGCAUGAGUGUAGCAAUACAUUUGAUGGCAACCGGCAAACGGGUGCGGAACGCGUACAGAACCCUCCUUCAAGCGGGGCAUAGCCCAGAGAAAUUUGGAUUAAUACCCCAUAAUAUAAUGAAGAGGCAUCUCUUUGUUAUUAAAGAUUUAUCACUUGAAGAUGGCUGUGCGGCUGAUUAGGUAGUUGGCGGGGUAACGGCCCACCAAGCCUGCGAUCAGUAACUGGUGUGAGAGCACGACCAGUCACACGGGAACUGAGACACGGGCCCGACUCCUACGGGAGGCAGCAGUAAGGAAUAUUGGUCAAUGGACGCAAGUCUGAACCAGCCAUGCCGCGUGGAGGAUGAAGGUCCUCUGGAUUGUAAACUUCUUUUAUAUGGGACGAAAAAAGGCUUUUCUAAGUCGUCUGACGGUACCAUAUGAAUAAGCACCGGCUAACUCCGUGCCAGCAGCCGCGGUAAUAC
rnacentral:rRNA from 1 species